rnacentral:lncRNA from 1 species
CCUGUGUCUGUGGCAAAUUAAGGAGAAAAAUCAAGACGUUCCCUUCAGUCCUCCCUCGGUGUUAACGUCUGCUCCAGCUCGCAGCCCGCUGCUGGGCAUUUUAUUAAUGCUUUUACGAGUUAGAAGAGUUGGGAUAAUUUGCCAUCUGGAGUUUCUCUGCCUUGCUGAUCUGAGCUCAGACCUGCCAAUUUACCAGAGAUAAUUGAUAACACCCUGUAACAGCUGAGAGGAAAAUGGAAGAAACGGAGAUACUUUUAGUGAAGCAGAAUAAACCACUGAACAGUCUGUUUCAUCUUCAUAAAAACGCUGCUUUCAGUGCACUGGAUUUAUUUUACAACCCACUAAUGGAUUACCCUACAGUUUGAAAAACAUUGCGUUAGACCAGUUUGACUGUUGUCAAGAACCAAAAAAGGAAAAAUGAGGAAGCUGUGAGUACCAGUGGAAGGAACGAGCCAGGAAGAGGGACUGGAACCAUCUCAGAAGCCAUGCCCCUCAGGCUGGAACUUGCCCUGUCUCCUCGCAGAUGAGGUAGGAGGCUCAGCACGGGCUGGUGGGAGCAGCCCACAGCAGCAGUGAGGGUCAGUGGGCCUGUGAGUUAAGAAGAAGGUGGCACAGAGCGAGGGUCUCUGGAUCCUGACUGUUUGACUUUUCCAUGAUUAGGAUAAGUAGCCAGGGCUUGGCUAGUUGGAGAGUUACUCGAACCUCAGGUGACAGUUGUAAGGCAGCACAUAGUGAAAAAGAGUCCUAGCCUGGGAAAGUCCAAAACCUUAGGUCUGGUUUCAGUUCACUCACCUAUCUCUGUGACAUAGCAAAGUCUGUUAAUUUCUCUAAUUUUCUGAUUAGUAGUAUAGUUGCAGGAAUGAAAUAAAAAUGGUCCUGAUUACUCAGAGAUUCAUUUACUGAUUACUCUUUUUGUGACCUGAAUAAAGAGUACAACAUCUCUCAAAAGGUAACAAUAUGAUGUUUCAGGAAAUUAGAGAAGUUAAGAGACUUUGCUGUAUUUACUAUACAGAUAGUUGACUGACAGCUGAGCCCGGACCCAAGAUUCAUUUAUAAAAUGAAGGAGUUGAGAAGUACAUACUCUGAGGUUUAUCCUAAAUAAACUGAAGUCUAGGCAAGUGGCUGAGCUAGGUUUGCCAUGAAUCAAUCUGCUGAGUAUAUUUCUUGGUAACUAGUUCAUCUUUCCUUAAUUCAGUCAACAAAUAUGAUAUCAAGUUUAGUAAGAUGAUGACAGUUGUCAUGUAAUACUCCAUCUGGAAGAUUGUAUGCUUCUCAGCUUCCCUAACUUUUCUUAAUCUACCUUAAGCUUCCUUUCUGAAAGGUUUCUGUCUUUCCUAACAGUCUCUUCUUUCCGCCAGCUACCUCUUGUGUUUAAGAAUUAAAGGAAGAUGAGCUAGGAAUCAAGAAAUACGCAGAACUGAUUCCUGUCACUGGCGCCACCCUGCCACUUGCCCAGAGCUGUGGUAUAAAUUUUUUUAAUAGGCUGAAAUAAAAAUAUGAAUAGCAUUUUGGUAUUAAGCAUUAAAUUGAUAAAGGCUAUGAGAUACACCUGCUCUCAACCAUGUUAAUUUUUUAUUAUUGGUAUUAAUAAAUUAUUACUUACUAACAUAUUAACAAGAAUUGCAUUGAGAAACAAAGCAUCCACAGGCCAAAUCUUCUGAAUUUCAAAUGUUUAUAUUAAUGCGUUGUAUUCUAGAAAAGUAGAAUUGUCUUAAGUAGCUUUGUAAUAUAAAGUCAUCUAUCAGCCCAUUACACCUAUUAGAAUGUUUUAACCUUUAUUUCCCACUUUUUUGUUUCUAGACUGAGUGUACUUGGUCUGGUAUUUGUGGCAUAACUUACGGAACACAUAAGAAUGAUACAGAUACUAUUUAAUGAUGACCUAAUACAAGCUUAGAUAGCUAAGGUGAAAGCUUCUAUGGCCUUAACAUUUUCCUCUUGAAGAAUGUAUUUUCUGUAAUAAAAUACAGUGGCUACUUGAAAUCUAUAAACUUAUGUGAGGUCUGGAUAAAUCUGAGCAACUUUCUUCUUUGUGCUCCAGGAACCUACGCACUAUAUAUAUAAAUAAAGCUUAAGUAAACAUCACUGCAAUCUGUGUUUUGUUUGAUUAUAUUACGUAUUGCCUGAUCUUUAAAUAAUGAUGAAAAAUAGCCUUUAACAUAAACCAUGAAUGGAUAUGCACUUGAGGGAAACAGUUUCUUGGAUAAUUAAACUUUAAUUUCUCACCGUGGAUUCCUUGGAUCUUGUAAUAUUUUUUAAAACAGUCCUGGGGAUUUAUUUUUAAGGCGUCCAAAUGAAUUAUUAGUUCUCAAAAGCCAUAGUAUAUUCAUGGGUCGAUAUAUCCUCAAAACACUAUUUUUAAACUGCUUAGUUUAUUUUUCUUAGCGUGCUCAUCUGCUGCAUAAUUUUCUUUGCUAUGUAUGGGUCACAUGCUUCCUCCCGUCCAUAACUCACGCACUUAAAAUUCUCACUUCCUGAUUGAGCCAUCAGAUUACGUAAAAUGUAAAUCAGCCUGAAUACCUAGGAGCAGGAAUUUUAAGGGAGAAAAUGCCGUUUUCUUUUUCUGUGUCAUUAUUAACCCUUAAAUAUCAGAGUGAGUGUCUGCUCACCUAUUUGUAUUUGGAAACGAGAUACUGUUAGGGGUUUUUCUUGGCCCUUCCCUUUCAGAUUGAAUCAGACUUUGCUGCUUUCCUUAUACAAAAUAAUGUACCAACUAGAUAGACGGUGGGAGUGGUAUCGUUGCAGGAAUGAAACCAAAAGGGUUCCGAUGAUUGAGAGAGAUUCAUUUAUUUUUUAACUCUUCUCAUGAUCUGAAUGAAGAGUACAGCAUCUAUCAAAAGGUAACAACCUAAUAUUUCAGAAUUGCAAGUGGCCAUUUAGCCUUUCUGCUGCCUGAUAUAAAUGAAAGUAAUUCCUAGCAGGCAGGAUGACACUUGUUUUAUCACGAAUCUGACAAUCCAGCACAUUUUCUCAAGCAAUUUUGAAGUUGUCGUAGUAACAGCAUGGCAUUUGGAGGGUCUUUUUAGUAGUUCUUUAGCUAGAGUUAAUUAAUUGUAUUAACUCUGGAUGUUUUUCUUUUUACUCCUCUUUGACAAACAAGGGCUAUAAUUGCUCAAAUAUGUAUUUUGUGUUCUAUAUUUUUUGGUGACUAUAGUUUAAGGACGUGAUGUUUUUAAGUGGUUUCAGUAAAAGGUUAUCAGUUGAUUUCAGACACAUUAAACUUGGGUUUUUAAUUUCUCUGUAAAAUUCCACUAUCAUUGUAGGACCAGGAUUUAGUUUUAUUUAAGAAGUGAAUCUGGGGAGAUAUUUGCACAAAUUGAAUUGUGGCUUGCUUCCAGUGGUUGCAACUAUCCGUUGCUUUGAUUUUGGUGUAUUUAGAAAAAGAACUGGGGAAUGCAGAAAGGGAAAUGUGUCAGGCUUACAGGAGAAAAUUGUUUCUUUAGAAAUGCAACAGGCAGGCACACCACCAAAAGCAUGUUCCAUAAAAGAAAACAAAUAAAUUUGAUUUUGUGAAACUUAAGAAUGCAGUGCUCUUUGAAACUCUAAAAUAUACUUAAAUAAAUUCUCCCCUAGGAAGAUUUGUGGGAACUUUUUAUUGGUGGAAAGUAGGUUGGAACUUCUAGUAUUAAUAGUAAAACUCUGUGGCAGAAAUUCUUGCCAAUAUGGCGGUUGGUGAGAAAGGAAUCCCGUUUCUUGGGCAGGGAGAGGGUCAGAAGAAAGAAUUGUCUGUACUCAGUCUGGAUGCCGGGACUUAAAAAGUAUCAGAUAUACAAUGCUUUUGUUUUCUUGUAUAAGUGAACAGAGAGAUGUGACACUUCUAAAAGGUCUUGUGAGUUUUGUGGGUUUAAUGCUAAUGCCACUAUCCUUACUGUUCUGUGAGUAUUUGUUCAGCCACGGGUGAUUCAAGAGAGUUGGGGUAUCAGCAUGUGCAGCCAACAGCAGUCCAGGUGCUAAUGCACCACCGGUGAUGUCAGGAGUUACGAGACAGCGGUUUCCAAACACUGCAGUAAACAAGGUCAAAGUGUCCCGUUUCGCUGGAAGAAGUUUUGUUUUUAUGAGCUGGACAGUACAUGGAUGAAGUAAUUUUUCAAAACAAACUUUAAAUUUAUACAUGUGUUUUUUUUCUUCUUCUCUUUGGAUUAAAAUAAAUUGGCCCGUUGAGAUUAAAUAAUGGUUAUGUUUUUAAGCAGAAUUAUAUUUCAUAUGUUUUUCCAGUCUUUUAUUGAUUUUCUGUUUUUCACAGAAGAAAUGAAAAUAACUUCUGAUGUAGGGUUUCUUAAAUGCAGUUUGAGAGAGCAAGAUAGGAACCAGUACUUUCAAAAUAUGGCAAGUGCAAGUCACAAUCCCUAGUAAGAUAUUCCUUCUCAUUUUGUGCCUUUGACUCUUAUUUAGACAGACGUUUAAGUACGAGAAAGCUAAUGGCGCAGAUUCUGCUGACUGUGUGGCUCUCGUCUUAAUGCGUUUUCCAACCUUGAACCUGAGAAUGCCAGAGGAUUGAGUCUCUGGACGUUCAUCUGAGCAGAUAUCUGCUGGCCGCCUGGUUCCUGAGCUAACAAGUGGGUGUCCCGGGCUUGUGUGUGUAGUCACAACAGUGGAGGUGCCACGUGGCACCCAGAGGUCGACUGGGGCUACCGCGGGGCUUCCCGAUCCUCACAAGUGUGUCUUCAGUGUCUGACAUGAACUGGGAACUUGGGGCAUCUUUAGAAGCACAGACAUUUGGAGUUCCACGGCAAACCUGGAUGUAAGCACUCACACAGCUUUUAAAGUGAAAGCAGGGACCUUGAGGAAGGAAUCGCCGUCAUCUCAUUGCCGACCUGCUUACUGUGCUGGGAAACAAAGACAAGUCCUGCGCUUGGGGAUCCUCUGUACGCCCGUUCACUGGUGCAGGUCUUCUGAACAAAUGCCUCCUGAGGAUUUCUGUGCCUGGAAAAUAUCUGUUAACAGACUGCUUUUACACCUACGUAAGUAGAGGCUUCUGCUUAUAAGUCAACCUCAAGGGAGUUUUAUUUUGUCCCUGGAUGAUUCCUCAGUACAUUUUUCUUUUUCUUUUUUGAGGUAGGGUUUUGCUCUGUUGCCCAGGCUGGAGUACAGUGGUGUGAUCACAACUCACUGCGGCCUCAACCUCCCAGGCUCAAGCGAUCCUCCCACCUCAGCCUCCCAAGUAGCUGGGACCACAGGCGUGUACCACCCACGCCUGGCUAGUUUUUUAAAAUUUCUUUUGUAGAGGCAGAGUCUCCCUGUGUUGCCCUGGUUUCAAACUUGGGCCAAGUGAUUCUCUGCCCCAGCCUCUCAAAGUGCUGGGAUUACAGGUGUGAGCCACCGUGCCUGACAAGCCUGAUAUGUUUUUUUAAAUGAUCAUUAGUAUUUGAUCUCUACUCUUUUUCUCUCAACCACCCAACUCCCGGUUUACGGUCAGGAAGAAUCUAUAACAUGAACUCCUGCUUAAAAACAAGGGUAUAGAUCCCAUAUUCAGGUCUUAGACUGGGAAGAAGAGAAGGCAGUCAAAAAUAUUAAAUAUAUGAAUUUCAGUAAAUUCAGUUGGGGAUGCCAUUUCAGCUUUGCAGUCAGUUACUCCAGAAUAUGUCAAUGUAUGGCAAAGCAUGUGACAGCAGGAUCUCUGCACCCUCUCCAUUUACCAGCUGUGGUGGAUCUCUUAGCCACAUCUCUGUUUAUAAUGUGCUUAUUGAAAACUAAUGUAUUACUUUUAUUAUCAUAGCUACCAUUUACUGAAUAUUUACAUUGUGCUAACACUGGUUCAGAUGGCUUCAUCAUAUUUACCUGAUUUAAUCCUCACAACAACCUUAUGUGCUAGGUCCAGUUAUUACCAUCUUUUUUUUUUUUUGAGACGGAGUCUCACUCUGUCGCCAGGCUGGAGUGCAGUGGCGCGAUUUCGUCUCACUGCUGCAACCUCCGCCUCCCAGGUUCAAGUGAUUCUCCUGCCUCAGCCUCCCAGGUAGCUGGGACUACAGGCACAUGCCACCACGCCCAGCUAAUUUUUGUAUUUUUAUAGAGACGAGACUUCACCAUGUUGGCCAGGAUGAUCUCAAUCUCUUGACCUCGUGAUCCGCCCAUCACAGCCUCCAAAAGUGCUGGGAUUACAGGCGUGAGCCACCGCACCCGGCCUAUUACCCUCAUUUUACAGAUGAGGAGACUGAGGCACAGAGAGUUAAAGUGAUUUGUGCAGGGUUGUGUGAGGAGCUGGUGGCAGAGCUUGGCAUUCUGGCUCUGGAGUCUGCAUUUGGCCAUCUCACCGUACAGUGUCAUAGAAACAGGAAACUCGAGAAGAUAAACUGCCAGGCUGUAUUUUGGAGUCAGUAUUUUAACACUGUCACCAUCUCAAGCAUGAUCUGUGGGACUCAUCACUGUGCUCUUUGACUUGAACUUCUUUAAGGUUAGUGGGAAAAUGAAGCUUUAGAGAAGAUGGGACUGGCCUAAGGUCACACUGCAUGUCAGAAGUGUGGUGGAGGGUCCAGGUCUUCUGACCAUUCAGUGCAAGCCAAAUUGUGCUAAUUUCCAAUUUUUCUCCCUUUCUCUUGGUGAGCUAUUUGGUGCUACUUCUACUCCUCAUGACCAAAGCUGGCUUUCAUGGUUUACUCAUGUACUUACUGAUGAAACCCUGAGACUUGGGGCCAGUGACUGUUCAGAGGUCCAUGUGAAGAUGCGCUGAAUGGUAUAAAGGACAGAGCAGUAAAGAGUGCUGGCUGAAUGCCUGGGCUGGCAAUCAGGCAUGUUGGAGUUUGAGUCCCAGUCUGCCACUCCAGCUCUGUGACCAAGAGGAAGUGAAGUCAUGUACCCUUUCUAAGUCUCUAGCCCCUCUUCUGAAAGACGAAGAUGCCACCACCAACCAUGUUAGUGGUUGUGAAUGCCAAGAAAGUCCAUGUGAAGCACAUAGCAUAGUGUCUGCCAUGCGUUAAGUGUUCCAAAAAUGGAAGCUAUGACUAUUUCACAGAGUACACUUCCCAUCACUUUUCAGUUCAUUUUGGCCUUCUCCCUCAAAAGCACUCCAGUGUUCUGAUCCAGCUGAUAAAACACCAAACAUUCACAUAGUGCUUUAAAAGUGACCCACUGUUUUUACAGACUGCAUUACAUAUGACCCUAACAACCACUGCAAUAUAGAAAUUCGCAUCUCCAUUCUCCAGAUCAGGAUACCGAAGCUCAGAAAAAUUAAAUGAUUUGCCCAGGAUCACAUAGUUAGUAAGCAGCCCAGCCAGAUCCUGUGUUAACUUGUUCAUCCGCUUCCUAUAAGAAAACAUCCAUUCAAGGCACAUGGGGCAACAAAGAAGGACUUAGAGCUGUGUGGCCCCUCGUCAGGGCAGUACCAGUUGCACCCAUAGUCCGGCCUGAAUACUCAGCUUAGGACUAUUGUGUCCAAUGUCCCAAACAUUUUGAAGCUACAUCUUAAAGAAGUGUCCUGCUCAGAUGCAGUUCUCCUUGUGAAAUCCGCAGGCCCCAAGGAAAGUGACUUUAAUCCAGUUUGCUCAUGCAAGAACAGACUGGCAUUUCACAUCCAGGAAAACAAUGGAUUUGUACUGUUCAGCUUUUGCCAUGCAAGGAGUUCCUGGUGUGGUUUAUUAAUUUACAUCUCAGGCUCCAGCUUCACUAUCAAUCAGAUUUGGAAGAAAAAAGUUACAAAGAAAGGCAGCUUGCUGAGAAACAGCGGAAGCAUGACGGUACAGACUGGGUUUUGAAAUGGAGACACAUUCUCAUGGCUUGUGGGCUGAGAGACACUGAGAAAGGAUUUUGUUCUUGAAAGAUGAUUGUUUUAAUGCUGGAGAUGGAGAGUUUUGACAAUUUUAAGUGCAUGUUCUGUGUGUAAGAAAGAGUCAUUACGUUUUUUUUUUCUUUCAGAUGUUGCCAUGCCUUAAAAUUGCUGAUGAUUAAAAUAGAACAUCCUGAGUUACAGAAAUUCAGCCCUAGUGUAUCCUGGCCUAAAAAUACAGAACAAUCAAGUUGAUUGUUGGAAAUGAGAGGCUAGGCAGGGUUGGAAACAUGCUAAUGUUUACUGAGUGAAAUCUUUCCUUCUCAGUAGAGUUGCCCUUGCAGCUGAAAGUCACUGAAAGACUCAACAAAAUAAGCAGAUCCCACUUGUCUCACUCUGUUCUCCUAUGCAUGCCCUGGAAAGAGAAUGAAUGAGCCCUUUUUAAUUUAUCAACUGGUUUUCUUCCAUCUCUUUACUAGUGAGCCAUGGGGGUUUUUUGCCGUUAACUGGGUAGCCAGUCUCUUCAUGGAGACUUAUUUUCAGGAAACUAGCCUCUUGCUUUAUGUGAAAACAAGGACCCAACUCAAGAUGUCUUAUCACAGUGUGUUCUGUUGCGUAACAGUUGCAUCUGUAGUCCAGCCUCAAUACUCAGGUUGGGACUGUUUUGUCCUGAUGUCUCGAACAUUUCAAAGCUACGUUCUUAAAGAAAUGUCCUGCUCAGAUAGAGCUCUCCUUGUGAAAUCCUCAAACCCCAGGGGAAGUGACCUUAAGCCAGUUUGCUGGCUUUUCAUGUCACAGAAAACAAUCGACUGCCACUACUCAGCUGUUGCCACACAGGAGUACCUGGCGUGGUCACUACUUGCCAACUCAGUACCCCACUUUCUCCCCAAGGACAUAAAAGCAAUGUGGGAAGAUAUACCAAAUGACCUUGUCACACUGGGCUAAUAUGAAGAGCCCACAGAUGCAAAAUAAUGUAUCAUACCUUUAUUCUUCUGAUUUUUUUUUUUUUUUUUUUUUUCGGAGACAGUCUCACUCUUUUGCCCAGGCUGGAAUCCAGUGGCGCGAUCUUGGCUCACUGCAACCUCUGCCACCCGGGUUCAGGCAAUUCUCCUGCCUCAGCCUCCCGCCCAGCUAAUUUUUGUAUUAUUAAUUAGUAGAGAGAGGGUUUCACCUUCUUGGCCAGGCUAGUCUUGAACUCCUGACCUCGUGAUACACCUGCCUUGGCCUCCCAAAGUGCUGGGAUUACAGGCGUGAGCCACCGUGCCUGGCCUUUUUUUUUUUUUUUUUUUUUUUUUUUUGAGAUGGAGUCUGGCUGUAUUGCCCAGGCUGGAGUGCAGUGGCAUGAUCUUGGCUCACUGCAACCUCUGCCUCCCAGGUUCAAGUGAUUCUCCUGCCUCAGCCUCCUGAGUAGCUGGGAUUGCAGGCAUCCCAUACCCGGCUAAUUUUUUUGAAACAGAGGCUUGCUCUGUCACCCAGGCUGGAGUGCAAUGGCACGAUCUCAGCUCAGUGCAACCUCCGCCUACUGGGCUCAAGCAACUCUCCUGCCUCGGCCUCAGCCUCACUACAGGCAUGUGCCACCACGCCUGGCUAGUUUGGUUUUUUUUUUUUGUAUUUUUUUAGUAGAUAUGGGGUUUCACCAUGUUGGCCAGGUUGGUCUCAAACUUCUGACCUCAAGUGAUCUGCCUGCCUCAGCCUCCCAAAAUGCUGGGAUUACAGGUAUGAGCCACCACGCUUAGCCUUCUGCUGAAUUUUUGAGAAGCAUACAUAAAGACAAUGUAAAAAACUUAGCAUAUUUGUUUGGCCCUGCUAAGGGCAUGGUUGAAUAUAUAGUGUGUGUGAUGUAUUUGGUGUAUGAGAUAUAUAUGAUCUUAUCAGACAUAAGUAAAAGAAAUUCAUUCUUCAGGAAAAAUUUUCCCCAUAACUGAAGUGUCAAUCAUUUGAAAAAACUUCUAGGCAGUAGGCAAACACUGUGACUAGUUAUUUAUCAAAAAUAAGCAGACUUUAGAGUUUUGUAACUGAUGAGAAUAAUCUGGCUGCUUCUUUUGUACUUCAGUCACUGAUACUGCGAAUUAGAGUAGCAUAUACAGAAGGAUGCAGGGGGUCCCUAAAGGAAUCACAGAAUUAGUGAAACCAUUAUUUGAGAGUUGCAGUGAUUCUUCUGUCCUGGCACUUUUCCCAGUUUUGGUGCUUAAAUUUACUAUCCACUUGAAAUGUGUCACUGCCUGUCACUUCACAAAGUAUGUGCCUUUCACUGCAGUCAACAAGCUGUUUACAUCUUUGAUGAAAUGAUUGCCACGCAUCUCCAUAGCCCUGGUGUUCUAUUCCCUUAUUCACAGAGAUUUUUUUUAAAAACCAGCCUAGCAGCAAUAGGUAUGUGCUGUGGAUGCUUCUCCAUGAUGAUAAAGGAUGAGUUUGUGCUGGGAUCUCCUUAUGAAAAGAUAACUGGCCAAGCCCAUGAGGAACAAGAAUGUUAUGCUAAUCAGACCCAAGGUAAACAGCCUGCAGUGCACCUCCUGACUGAUUAGCACUGAACCCACUUGGAAUCAUCAACCACAGUUUAUAAAAACAGUGCACACCCCUUUAAUUAGGUGGCCUGGGUACAUGAAGUAUCUUUUUGGAUGCCUAGAACACAAAAAGGGACGACAACAGGCCACCUAAUAAGAUGAUACCAAGAACUAUACCAUGACGGCGAAAAAGAACUGCUGCAAAAAAUAAUUUGCCAAGGAGAACUCAGAGUACAAAGCCUUACCUUUGGAGUAGAGGGAAGGAGAGUCUUAAGUAAAGCUCACAAAAACCCCUAACUCAUAGAUGCAGUCUAAGGAAUUCAUUCCGGAAGCGACAUUAGCAUCUCAUUAGUGCCAUUAUGUGACUUACUUGGCCUCUGAGCUAGUCUAUUUUCUUCCCUAGACCCCAAAAUCUCAGUAAUCCUUUGGAUCCAAGUUAUCUCCAAGUGAAAAUAAUAGGUUUAGGAAAGCGUUUUUCUUCAACUUCUAUGGAGCACUUGCUUGCUUUGUCCUAUUUGCAUGUCCGACGGACGGUUCUCCAGCACCACUGCUAGUCGUCCUCCGCCUGCCUGGGUACUUGAUCACAGGAUGCCUCUGACUUCUCCUGCCUUUACCCAAGCAAAGGAUUUUCCUUGUCUUCCCACCCAAGAGUGACGGGGCUGACAUGUGCCCUUGCCUCUAAAUGAUGAAGCUGAACCUUUGUCUGGGCAACUUAACUUAAGAAUAAGGGAGUCCCAGGCAUGCUCUCCCAUCAAUAACAAAUUCAGUGACAUCAGUUUAUGAAUAUAUGAAAUUUGCCAAAGCUCUGUUUAGACCACUGAGUAACUCACAGCUAGGUUUCAACUUUUCCUUUCUAGGUUGUCUUGGGUUUAUUGUAAGAGAGCAUUAUGAAGAAAAAAAUAGAUCAUAAAGCUUCUUCAGGAAGCUGGUUUCAUAUGGUGGUUUAGAUUUAAAUAGUGAUUGUCUAGCACCAUUUGAAAUCAGUGUUCUUGGGGGAGACCAGCUGCGCUGCACUACCAACAGCAAAAGAAGUGAAUGGGACAGCUCUGAAGUAUUUGAAAGCAACAGCAGGAUGGCUGUGAGAACCUGCCUCACAUGUAGCUGACCCCUUCCUCACCCCUGCCAACAGUGGUGGCAUAUAUCACAAAUGGCAGUCAGGUCUCUGCACUGGCGGAUCCAACUGUGAUCGAAAGUUUUCCAAAAAUAAGUUGUGUCUGUAUUGAACAUGAACAGACUUUCUUCUUGUCAUUAUUCUCUAACAAUACUGCAUAACAAUUAUUUGCAUACAUUUGCAUUGCAUUAAGUAUUCUAAGUAAUCUAGAGACGAUUUAAAGUAUACGGGAGGAUGUGUGUAGGUUGUAUGCAAAUACUACACCAUUUUCUAUCAGAGACUUGAGCAUCUGUGGAUUUUGGUAUCCAAGGGGCUUUCUGGAACCAAUCCCUCAAGGAUACCAAGGGAUGAAUGUAAUUGUACAGGAUAUCGCAUUGUUGGAAUUUUAUACUUCUUUGUGGAAUAAACCUAUAGCACUUAAUAGAUAGUACAGACUCAUUCCAUUGUGCCUGGGUUAAAGAGCCCAAUGUAUGCUGGAUUUAGUAAGAUUUGGGCCCUCCCAACCCUCACGACCUUCUGUGACCCCUUAGAGGAUGACUGAUUUCUUUUGGUGUUCAGAGUCAAUAUAAUUUUCUAGCACCAUCUGAAAUCGGUUAUAAUGAUUGGGGAAGAGCACCAUGAUGCUGACUGCUGAGAGGAAAUGUAUUGGUGACCGUUGGGGCCAUGGACAAGAACUAAGAAAACAAAUGCAAAGCAAUAAUGCAAAGGUGAUUUUUCUUCUUCCAGUUUCUAAGUUGAAUUUCACUGACCUGAAUUGCAUGUGGUAUAAUACUAACAAAUGGUUCACUAUUAGCAUAUCAUGAAUGGUUAUACUUUAUAGAAAUUCCAUAGACUUGGUGGGGGUUUUGUUUUGGUGACGGAUACCUAGAAACACUCCUGGGGAAAAUCGAUGACUGGCUUAGAUGAUGGGAAAGGAGCAGCGAGGGAGUCAAUUCUGUUGUUGAUGAGAAGCUGCACCAGCUAUCUCUGAACUCUCCUCUCUUAGCUGGCUGAGGAGUUCCCUCCAUGGUUAAACAGGUCAUUUUCUUACAUAAGGAAAAAUGGUCCAGAGAAACUGGGUUUCUAUGGCUGAGACAGAACUGUGCUAAUAUGUGUCAGUUCAGUUUAGAAGGCAAAGCAACAAAAGCAGGUGCUACUUGAACUAGGAUCCUAGAGUAUACCUUUGAUAUGGUUUGGAUGUUUGUCCCCUCCAAUCUCAUGUUGAAGUGUGAUCCCCAGUAUUGGGGGUGGGGCCUGGUGGGGGUGGUUGAGUGAUGGGGCGGAUCCCUUGUGAAUGGCUUGGUGAUGUCCUCACUUAACGAGUUCCUGCUCAGUUAGAGGGAGCCGGUUGUUUAAAAAAGCUGGCACCUCCUUCCUCUCUCUUGCUCUUUCUUUCUUGCUCCCUCUCUCGCCAUGUGACAUGUCUGCUCCCUCUCCGCCUUCCACCAUGUAUAAAACAUCCUGAGGCCUCAUCAGGAGCCGAGCAGGUACCAGUGCCAUGCUUGUACGGCUGCAAAACUGUAAGCCAAAUAAACCUCUUUACUAUAUAAAUUACCCAGUCUCGGGUAUGUCUUUAUAGCAGCGCAAAACGGACUAACACAACCUCACUAGAAGUGAAGUCAUUAGACCAAAAACAAUACUGAGUUUUUAGGUCCACUAAGAGGCAAAAAUAAAAGGCUCUUUAUAGCAGCAUGAUUUAUAAUCCUUUGGGUAUAAGCACAUGUAUGCUAGAACUUAAAGUAUAAUAAUAAAAUAUAAAAAUAAUAAAAUAAAAUAAAAGGCUCAAGAAUGAGCCAUCUCGGCCGCUCCUCCUCCAGGGGCCCCUGUGUGCAGCUCCCAACACAGGUACUGCACAGACCGGCCACCUGCUGUCCCCAUGUGGCGUCCUGGAGAACUGCAGGGGCACCUGGUGGAAUUUGGGCCUUGUCCUUCUGUUUUCUUUCUGGCCUGGAAAAGCCACUGGCCUCACAAUCAAGAGUUAAUAUUCUAUCUACCCUGCUUAAGCUUUCCCGCCCUCUCACACUGCCUCCCUCCUUUUCCCUCCUGCCUGUCACUUGUCUGGAAAAGGCCUUUUCUCCUCGGGGCUAACACAUGCAAUUUGUAGCCAAAACAUUCUGUCUACCACACAAAUCCAACGAGAAUCAGGAUCAUUCCACCACAUCUUUUUCUAUCCCAUGGUUAUUAUUUUCCCAAAACUCUUGUCUUUUGCUUUCUUACCUAUUCGCUGUUUUCCCUAAGUAAUCUUAUUUACUCCCCUGGUUCCAAAUACAUCCCUAUGUGUUGAUUUCCCUCAAACCAGAGGUCUGGCCUGGGAUAUUUUUUGAGACAUCUUGCUUUUUAUAUUUUUAGUAGCUCCUAAGUAUAAUAGUUCAGCCUGCUCUUCUAAACUUGUCUCAAUUUAAUCCAUUUAUGCUUGAGGUUGCAAUUUUUUGAAUUUUUGCCAUCAGACCUUGGCAAUGACCUUGAGCAGUAGGAGACAACUCCCACAUGCUUAGCAUUCCAAUAAUGGAACACUAGGCAUAUACCAAAGCCAUCCACAUUGCCUUCUCCCCAAAGCCAGCUCUCCCUGCUCUGCCCCAUGGUGAAAGCUGCGAACACCAGAGGUCUGUGACCUCUUCCCUCUCCCUUACCCACAUCCAUACUCAGCACAACUUGUUGCUGUUCUCUCUCAAUUCUCUCUUUAGGAUCCAUCCCUUUCUCUGCUCUUCCUAGACAGCUUUCUGGGCCCACCCCUCGCCAUUAGUCUAGCUUUGUUAUAGCCACCAGUUAAUCUUUGUAAAAUACAUACGUGAGCUGGGCACGGUGGCUGGUGCCUGUAAUCCCAGCUACUCAGGAGGCUGGGGCAGGAGGUUGCUUGAGCCCAAGAGGUUGAGGCUGCAAUGAGCCAUGAUUGCAUCACUGCACUCCAGCCUGGACGACAGACCAAGAUCCCAUCUCUUUAAAAAAUAAAAAUAAAAAUUGUUUAACCACAUGACCUUGCUCCUUGUCCCUCACUUUUAGCUGAACUCUUAUAAGUGUGUCAACCAGGUACCAGACCCUUCAUGACCCCAUGCCUACCUGUGUCACCAUCUUCUGGCUGUGCUUCCUGGGGCCUGUGUUCUGUGCUCACCCAGCUGCUUGCUGCUGAGAACACUCAGGUAUCUUGGCAUUUCUUAGCCUGUGUCUGUGCUAUUUCCUCUGCCCACAUCUCCCCUCUCCUCCUCCUCGUCAGCUAGGGACCUCCAGCCCCUAGGGACUGUAAGCUAGGGACCUCCAACCUGCAGCCCCUGGCUCAGGUGUAAACUUGUCUAGGAAGCCUUCCUCUGCCUUCUGCAUCAAGGCUUAGAUCCCUGGGCAAAGGCUUUCUUCUCUGUACCCCUUCAGAGCCUGAUGGCACUUCGCAUGUUAUAUUCUCAUGAUUGAUUACCUACUAGGCUUCUCUGCAAGGCUGGAAAAUCCUUGCUCCUAGGAGGGACGGUAGACAAGAACAAGACAUACUGUGUACACUCCAUUCUUACAUUCCACGUGAGCUAUCCUUUGUGUAGGUGUCUGUGGCAAAUCUUCCUUCUAGGCUGCAGCCUCUACUUUUCAUAGUUUCUCUCCAUUUUCAUCUGCCAUGUGCAUGAGGAAUAAAAACUACUUCCAAUGAUGACCAAAAUAAGAUGGAAGAAAAUAACCCUGCUUCAAAGAACAUUUCUGAGACCAUAAAUAUGAUUUUGAUGUAUCUUCCAUUAUGGAUUACCCAUGUGGUUUUUUUUUUCCUUCUAAAUGCAUAAACAGGAAUUGUUUAAUAGGCUAGAGAGCCAUGAAAAGCAAAAUAAUUAAGGAUUGUUGUCCUCAUUUCAUAGAAGAGCAAACAAAGACAGAAAAACAGAUGUGCCUUAACCAAAAAGGGCAGUAAAUUUAUGCAAAGCAGACUGAACCCCCAUUAAAAGUAAUCAUUUACAGCGACCAAGGGCCAAGCACGUGAUCACCACCCUCCUCUCCCAAUAGCUCUGAAGGGUGGGUAGUAUUUCCCCAGCUUAUGCACGAGGAAACAGAUGCACAGGAAAGUCAAGUAACUUGCCUGCAAUGCCACGGCUAGUCAACAUGAGAGUUUGAAUUACAAAUCAGGUGGCGGUGGCGGUGGUGAUGAUGAUGAUAAUAGCAGCUUAUCAUCAUCAUUGAGCUCUUAUUUUGUGUUAGAUACUUGGUAAGUAUUUUGCAUGAAUUAGCUCAUUUAGUCUGACUUUCAAAACAGCCCUUUGAGGUCAGUGUUAUUAUCAUCAUUCCCAUUUUGCCAUGAAGAAACAAAAGAAUUAAAUAAUCCAAGAUCGUCUAACUGACAUUUCCAAGCAGGAGCACAAACCCAGAUCUCUGUGAUUCCAGAGCCUGUGCUCUUAAAUCAGCACUGCUCAUUUCAGUGUGGGAGAUGGCGUAAAUGGGUGUGUUCACUUGCUGGGCAGCCUCAUCUGUGGUCCCCUUGAUCCCCACCUACUGGCAUUCAUGCCCUGUGCUAUUCCCUCCCCUGGAGUGUGGACUGGACCUAGUAAUUUGCUUCUAAUGGAUGGAAUAUGUCAAAAGUGAUAGAUGUCACUUCUGAGACUAGGUUACAAAUAGACUGUGAUUCUGUUGUCUUCUUCCUCAGGCUUGCACCCUCACGACAUGCUCUCUCUCUCUCCCUCUCCUCUUUUCUCUCUUCUCUCCCUUCUCUCCUCUCUCUUAUCUCUCUCUUCUCUCUCUCGUACACAUACUCUGGAAAGCCAGCUACCAUACUGGGAACUGCCCAAUGGAGAGGCCCACAUUCCACAAGGAACUGAUGUCUUCAGCCAAUACCUCGCCAGGACCUGAGGCCUGCUGAGAGUCACGAGUGGCCUUCGUGGGUCCUCUCUCAACGAGCUUGCAGGUGACCACUGCGCCAGCCAAAACCUUGAUGGCAGCCUAUGAGUGAGUGACCCUGAGCCAGAAGACCCAGUUAAGCCAUGCCCAGGAUCCUGACCUGCAGAAACUAUGACAUAAUAAAUUUAUUGUUUUAUGCCACUAACUUUUGGGGUUACUUAUGCAGCAAUAGAUAGCUAAUACAGCUCAUAGUAUCCUUAUCUAGCCUCAAACAUUCUGCCUUUAGUAUCUAACUUUCCUAACUUUUUAGAUAAACUUUUUUGGGGGGGAUAAUUUUAGAUUUACAGAAAAAAGGCAAAGAUAGUAUAGAGAGUUCCUUUAUAUUUCUCUCCUAGUUUCCUCUAUUGUUCAUAUCUCAUAAAACGAUGGUUUUGGGUUUUUUGAGACGGCGUCUCACUCUGUCACCCAGGCUAGAGUGCAGUGGUGAUCAUAGCUCACUGCAGCCUUGAACUCCUGGCUCAAGGGAUCUUACUACCUCAGCUUCCCAAGUAGCUGGGUUCACAGCAUGUACCACCACACAUGGCUAAUUAAAACAUAUAUAUAUUAUAUAAUAUAUAUAUUUUAAGUUAUUAGUAAGUAUAUCAAAUACUGCUCCAGAUUUACAAAUGGUUAUUUUCCACUAUGAUGUCAAUACACAUUAAUUUG